rnacentral:rRNA from 1 species
GAUGAACGCUAGCGGCAGGCCUAACACAUGCAAGUCGAGGGAGAAGCCCUUUCGGGGGCAGAAACCGGCGCACGGGUGCGUAACGCGUAUGCAACCUACCUUUCACAGGGGGAUAGCCCGAAGAAAUUUGGAUUAAUACCCCAUAAUAUUAUUGGAUGGCAUCAUCUGAUAAUUAAAGCUACGACGGUGGAAGAUGGGCAUGCGUCCUAUUAGCUAGUUGGAGUGGUAACGGCACCCCAAGGCUACGAUAGGUAGGGGUCCUGAGAGGGAGAUCCCCCACACUGGUACUGAGACAGGGACCAGACUCCUACGGGAGGCAGCAGUGAGGAAUAUUGGUCAAUGGUCGGAAGACUGAACCAGCCAUGCCGCGUGCAGGAAGAAUGCCUUAUGGGUUGUAAACUGCUUUUAUAUGGGAAGAAUAAGGUGUACGUGUACAUUGAUGACGGUACCAUAUGAAUAAGCUC